CCCUUAGAUGUUCUGGGCGGCCCGCGCACUACAUUGGCACUCUCAAUAAGUUCCUAGAUCUAAAACUUUGGGGUAUUCUAUUAAGUGGUGUCGUGACUGGGAUUAACCCUUGCAAUUAUUGGUUACGAACGAGGAAUUCCUUGUAAUCGCGGUUUAUCAGCCCGCGUUGAAUGCGUCCCUGCCCUUUGUACACACCGCCCGUCGCUCCUACCGAUGAAUCGUCCGGCGAAGUUCAUGGAGUGGUGGUUGUUCCAGCUGCUGUCGAAGUGAAAUGGACCUCACGAUUUAGAGGAAGGAGAAGUCGUAACA
rnacentral:rRNA from 1 species